GGGGCUGUAGCGCAGCUGGUAGCGCACCUCCAUGGCAUGGAGGGGGUCAGGGGUUCGAGUCCCCUCAGCUCCACCA
rnacentral:tRNA from 3 species